AUUGAACGCUGGCGGCAUGCCUUACACAUGCAAGUCGAACGGCAGCACGGGAGCAAUCCUGGUGGCGAGUGGCGAACGGGUGAGUAAUAUAUCGGAACGUGCCCAGUCGUGGGGGAUAACGUAGCGAAAGCUACGCUAAUACCGCAUACGAUCUAUGGAUGAAAGCGGGGGAUCGCAAGACCUCGCGCGAUUGGAGCGGCCGAUAUCAGAUUAGGUAGUUGGUGGGGUAAAAGCUUACCAAGCCUGCGAUCUGUAGCUGGUCUGAGAGGACGACCAGCCACACUGGAACUGAGACACGGUCCAGACUCCUACGGGAGGCAGCAGUGGGGAAUUUUGGACAAUGGGCGCAAGCCUGAUCCAGCAAUGCCGCGUGCAGGAUGAAGGCCUUCGGUGUAAACUGCUUUGUACGGUACGAAACGGACCGUUCUAAUACAGGGGUUAAGUGACGGUACGUAACGAAUAAAGCACCGGCUAACUACGUG
rnacentral:rRNA from 1 species